rnacentral:rRNA from 1 species
AACGAACGCUGGCGGCGUGCCUAACACAUGCAAGUCGAACGUGAUUGAGAGCUUGCUCUCAUGAAAGUGGCGCACGGGUGAGUAACGCGUAGAUAAUCUACCUGGUGAUCCGGGAUAACACCUCGAAAGGGGUGCUAAUACCUGAUAAGCCCACGGGGUCUUCGGACUCUGCGGGAAAAGGGGGGGACCUUUAGGCCUUCCGUCAUCAGAUGAGUCUGCGUACCAUUAGCUAGUUGGUAGGGUAAAGGCCUACCAAGGCGACGAUGGUUAGCUGGUGUGAGAGGAUGAUCAGCCACACUGGAACUGCGACACGGUCCAGACUCCUACGGGAGGCAGCAGUGGGGAAUUUUGCGCAAUGGGGGGAACCCUGACGCAGCAACGCCGCGUGAGUGAUGAAGGCCUUCGGGUCGUAAAGCUCUGUCAAGUGGGAAGAACCUGCUUCGCGCUAAUACCGCGGAGCACUGACGGUACCACUGAAGGGAGCACCGGCUAACUCCGUGCCAGCAGCCGCCGCCGUAA